rnacentral:rRNA from 1 species
AGAUAUUAGACAGAUCUUGUUAAACAAACCAAAAUAAUGGCAUAAACAUAAAGAUUUCUAGUCUACUUGUCUUUGGUUGGGGCGACCACGGAGGAAAAUAAAGCCUCCAUGAGGACUGAGGGCAGUGCCCUCACAACUAAGAGCCACAACUCUAAGUACCAGAAUUUCUGACCCAAAUGAUCCGACAAAUGUCGAUCAACGAACCAAGUUACCCUAGGGAUAACAGCGCAAUCCCCUCCUAGAGUCCCUAUCGACAAGGGGGUUUACGACCUCGAUGUUGGAUCAGGACAUCCUAAUGGUGCAGCCACUAUUAAG